rnacentral:lncRNA from 1 species
UUCACAUUCUUCGACGAGAGACUGUGAGUUUGUUAUUUGAUUUUCUUCUGAGGCGUUAUAAUAUUGUGGCGGGUAAUCUUUUCUACUCUCAUAAGCCUAUUCCGUAUUUUGAAUUAACAUUUCAGAAGUACUUUGCCCGGAUUCUCAUCCAUAAUUGUAUCUGAAGAAAAAGUUAUUCAUAAAAAGUACAAUGCCGGACAAUAAGGGGACAUUUCGAGAAGUUCUACCAAAACAAGGAAUGCUGUACCAAGAAGACAUUCCAACCACAGUUCUGUGUAAACCCAAAUUGAUGGCGUUAAAAUCAGUGACACUGGAGAAGUUAGAAAAAAUGCAGAAAAAUGCACAGGAGACGGUAAAGCAACAGGAAUUGAUGCAACAAAUGGAUCAGGGUAGUCUGAUGGGACCACCACAAUCGGGAUUGCCGGAAUUCUAAUUUGUGACAUUCAUUGAAUGUGUAUAUAUUAUUGUUUUAACAAUGAUGUCAUAUUAUUAUCCAACUCAAGCUAUAGCUAUUCCAUGUGAAUAUCACAAGAAUAAGUCUUGUGAAUUGAAUACCCAGAACUACCCAACUAAGAAAACAAACGUACCUGUCCAAGCUGUGAAUAAUGACCAGAACACGCAUGUAUUCCCAGCCAAAACUACAGUGAUACCAAAUCACAAAUGGGUUCCCCAACAGAAGUGCGAGUAUUUGGAGAAAACUACUCAAGUGGUAAAUCCAAAGGAGAAAUUUUCUGAGCCAGCUCAGCGUUUGUUUCCAAUGAAAACAUCAUACAUUUCCAACUCAAGAGAGACUUAUGUUGAGCCAAAAUGCUUUCUUUCAAGAACUGUAAAUAUUUCUAGGAGUCACAGCACAUAUUUGAAAUGCAAGAAGAAGAACCUGAAUAGCAUAAACUGUUUGUUUUCAUGCUUUGUUCAUAAAAGAGAAACUUAAAUGUUAUCUUUGGUGUGACCAAACAGUGAGAUGCAGAAUAGGUUUUUUAUAUUUAUACUUUGUUUAUUGUCACUUGUAUACACAUUUAUAUUCAUCUAAAACACUCCCUUCAACUCAAGUUUGCUAGUUUAAAAAAUUUGAAAUCUGGAACCAUUAAUUUGAAUUACGUCCAUCUAGUCAUUUCUCACAACUCAAGUCCUGAAACAUUACAUAUGGUACUGCGUUGCAGGAGCACAUUUUUUUUUUACAACAGGUCUCAAUACGAGAGUAUUCUUAUAUGACCCACUGUUGGCCAUUUUGUUGUUGCUACCACCAGUUCAUAUUAGGUUCUUGUACAUGUAGUGCAAUGCAUCAUGGGAUAUAUAUCUAAUUUUGUUUUGUGAUCUGAUCCAAUAGACCUUUUUUUCAAAUGGCUGCCAAAAUCUAGUUGAAAGCAAAAGAGCCACGCGACUUGUUUAUGCUGUCUAUCGCCAUCUUGUCUACUGUUCCAAAUACCGUGGUUAUGUAGGUCAGGGAACAGGGGAGAAUGUUUCAGAGGAUAAGGUCAGUUUGUCUGAUACAUUUUGGAUUAAAUCCAGAAACUUGAAUGUGUUUGCAACAACUGUUUCUUGGAGAUGACUGGGUUAAUUUUUUUUCAGCGAGCAUAAUUAUAUAGCAGUGUUGGUGCUGUGUUGAAAUUAAAUGGUUUACAGUAUAUCAGAUGGCCUGUUUAUUUUUAGUAUUUAUUUAUAUAUCUUUGUGAAGCAAAUCUCUUAAAAAAUAAAUUUUUAAAACAUUGAAAUA